rnacentral:lncRNA from 1 species
UGCGUAAGGUAUAGUUCUAGGGUACUAUCGUAUGUUUAGGUAUGAGAUGGUCUUAUUGCACGUAUAUUGGAUAGUGUUGGGAUCCAAGGAAUUCCUAGGGUACGAGUGACAUGUACCACUUAUAUGGUAUGGUACAAUUUGGGGGCUGUCAUACCCUCUUGUGAGAAUUUUAUACAGUUUAAGGUGGGGGUAAUCUGGAUAUUUCCUAUCUUAAUAUCUUAAGACCCC